GGAUGUGAGGGCAAUCUGGCUUCGACCUGACCCCCCCACUGAUCGCCCAAGCUGAUGCAGCUGACCUGGCUGGAUGGAUGGGUGUUCCUUCCUCUCUCCCGGCUCCACGCAUGUCCCUCCCAAAGCUGGUGCUCAGUCGACCAGGAGGACAAUCCCACAGAGGAGGACCAUUUCCUCAGUUGAGGCUGUCCGAGUACCUGUGUUACCCUGCUAGAACCUCCCAACAGCUCUCAAGAAGUUCAUAAACAUGUAUUUGCCAAGUUCUUCCAAUAAUUCUACUCAUUUUCACUUAAUGCCUCUUGAGCUGCUUUAUCAGU
ensembl:misc_RNA 7SK 7SK RNA